ensembl:lncRNA
ACUCCCCCUGGAAGAGGGGCACAAUUCUUGAGGCAUGAGCCUGCUGCGUCUUCCCUCCGCCGGCAGAAGAUUAAAACCACCUUUCUAUUUCCUGCAAACUCUGUCUCCGUGUUUUUUAUCUGGCUUCGGUGGGGAGAGAAUGCCAAGAUUUUGGCGGCAUCAAAGCCGGAUGUCCCAUCGAGGGGCCCCAGCUGAAAAGUGGUAAGAGAGAAACACACAGGAGCUGAAGACCAGGCACUGCAGAGCCACUUCUCCCCUUCAUCCUGGCGGGCAAGGUCUUCAGAGACCCCUGGCACCCAUCCCCCGCCAGAAACAGGAGGGGUUUGCGUGAGAUGAUCCCUGAAGGGCUCCCACCUCUGACCCCCAAGACCAUUGAGUUGAACCCCCUGGACUGUGUGCAGAAAAUGCAAGGAGAAGGAGGGAGCAAGCCAGAUUCCAGGAGGGCUUAUUUAGGAGUGAGCCCUGUGUCUGCCAACUACUCCUAUUUAGAGUCAGGGUACCGGAUCCGCAUUUUCAUCCGCUCACACUAAAACCUGAAACAUACCACACUGACCCUUAUGAGAUUCCAAUAAACCACACCUUCCCACCCUCUGCUUCCCCUGGUCCCCCAGGUCUGUCCUGCUCUCUCUUGAUUUCAUUCAGGUCUCUGCCCAGACGUCCCUCAGAGAGGUCUUUCCUGACCUCUUGAUCUAACAGGUGGUGCAGUGGUAAAGAAUCUGCCUCCCAAUGCAGGAGACGCACGUUCAAUCCCUGGGUAGGAAAGAUCCCCUGGAGGAGGAAAUGGCAACCCACUUCAGUACUCUUGCCUGGAGAAUCCCUUGGACAGAGAAGCCUGGCGGGCUUCAGUCCAUGGGGUCACAAAGAGUCGGACACGACUGAGCGACUGAGCACACAUUGUCUUCCUUUGCCCCGCUUGCUGCCUCAGAUGCUCAGGUGUUCUGCCCGAGACCCCAGGGAACCCACAUGCCUUGGAGCAACUGCUGAGCCAGUGGCCACAACUAGAGAGGAGAGGAACUUUGGACCCAGAUGUGUGCAGAAGGAAGACUACAAGAACCCACAGGGAGCAGCCAGCCAUCUAGAAGCCAAGGAGAUAGAUUCUCCUCCCCAGCCUGCUGACAGCUGGAUCUUGGACUUCGAAGCCUCCCAAACUGGAAAUGACACUUUCAGCUGGUGAAGCGUCCCCCAGUCUGCAGCCCUUCGUUACAGCAGCCUGACAACCAGUGCAGGGUGCUGGUCUCAGAGCCCAGCGGCUGGCUCUGCCCUCUCUGGCUGGUGCCUCCCACCUCGCAGUCCACCCAGUCUGGGGGCGGGGGCGGUCUCCACAAAGACAAGUUUGUGGUGAAGCCUCAGGUCACCCUGGGCUUCUCGGCUCCCUUAACUCUUGUCCGAGCAACAGGAAAUUCAGACCAGCUAGAGCUGGAAAAGCCUUGUGGGCACAUAAAUAAAGCAGCAUGGAGGUGCA